CAAACAAACAAACAAAAACAAAAGGAAGAAGGAAAUAAUUUUUAAAUACAUUUUUUUCACAAUUGCCAUCAAGAAAAUUCAUAUACUUACCUGGACAGUAUGCCUCUGAAAAGGGAGUUUUUUUCUGUAAAUUCCACCCUCCUGUUCACAGCACCAGUGCUUCAAUGAGUUUAUUAUAAUAUCAGUAAUUCAUUAAUAAUUUCAGGAUUCAGAAGAAAGCCUGCUACAAAAGGUGGUCUAUUAUGUAACUUGUUUUUAAAGUUUCUUUUUUCAUAAAAGAAUUUAUGCAACAGUGGUAGUUGACAAUGCCACUCUAAGUCUCUGCAGUUUGUUUCUUCUCUGAGACACAGAUCAAACAAAUAGUGCUAUUUAUUUUUGCUUGAAGUAGUAAAUAAUAUCUCUAUUACAAAGAUACAUGACAGCCGAUGUGUGAUCAUCAGGCUGCAGUCUCUCUUGCUGAAUCUAUGGUAGUGCUGAUAGUGUUACAGCCUCUCCCUUAAAAACCUGUCUUUCAAAAAUAUUUUAUUGCAGGCAUAAAUGCAGGGUGUUGCUGUCCUAGUUUGUACAACUCGUGAAGUAAGCCUGAAUUUAAAUCUUUAGCAACCUACAUUUUUUAAUAGUAGACAUUAUCUAAUGCUGAUGCCAAAAUUACUUCCUUUGAGUUUCUGACAGGAGAUCCACUCAGCCUGAUGCAGCCAAGUAUGGGAAAGCUGUGUGGUCCCCUGCCAGAGCUGUCACUGAUACCUCUGCUGCUGAGCUUACUGCACACCAGGUCUGCAUAAGCUAAGAACAGGGCACCCAAGGAGGUGAAAUCCUGACCAUCGAUCAGGGCAUGAGGAUUCAGCAAGGGAUGCUGGCUCCCCUUUGUUUCCUCCCCACAACUGUUGUGAAGAGUUAUUAAAAGUUCUCUGUACUGCUCCAUGGGAACCAGUAUAAAUGCCUAUGUAAAUACGAAUGUGCAUGUGUUUUUCUCUUUUGGCAUCACCCUUUACCUGCUCUUACUAACAGCUGUGUUUCUCAGAACAUUAAGUCAACUAGAGACCCCGUGGCCAGUGGCUGCCGUGCCAGUACAUCCACAAGAGAUCCUAACCUUAAGGCCACAUCAGCCUUGAAGUUCUGCUGUACAGCUUAAGUGUCUUUUGGAAAAAAUGGAUGAAGAUCAAUGUGCCUCUGAUCUAAAAUGUUAAAAAUCCUUUAAAAGACUUCUAAAUCCUAAGGCAUGGAUCCCUGAUGGUGCUGCACAGUGCCCCUCUGACCGCAGCUGCAGCGGCACAGACCUGUAGAACUGAUCACAGCCUCGCGGGAACCCUCCUACUUUUGCCCCGGGGAUAGGCUGAGAAGAUGCAAAGCCCCACGGUGCUGCUGCAAGCAUGGUCCUCACCUGUCA